UUCAAAAUAUUAAUGAUAUAAAAGCGGGUAUAUUUAAAUACCCGAUGAAUCAAAUAUAAUUUUUCUAAUAAAAUUCUUUCGAAAAUUUAAUAAUUAAUUACAGAGACAAAAUAAGAUAACAAUCAUAAAUAUAAAUUCUUUUUUGUUCAAUCAUUUCUUUUCUAUUAAUAAAAUGUUAUAAAAUUUUAUAAAAUAUAUAAUAUAUAUUGGAAAAAAAACGUUUAUUUUUUUUUUCAUUUUCUCUAAAAAUACUACUAUCUACACUAAGAUAUUUAUUUAUUAAUACAUAUAACAUGUAAUAUAAUAUAAAAUUAUAUAUAUAUUACAAUUACAAUUACAAUUCGUUGAAUAUUAAUAUUACUACAUAUCCAUACAUCUAUUGCAUAUUUUCAUAAAAAAAGAAGAAAGAAAAUCUUCAAAUCGCUUUAAUAUAAGACACACAUUAUAAGUAACUAUAUAGAAACCAAUUUAUAAAAACAAUUACAAAAGAAAAUUAUAAUUGCUAUAAUUUGCCUUGAAUUACGUACAAAUUACAAUAACAAAUCAUGAAAUAUUAAUAUUUCUCGGUAUUCUGAAUAGAAAAAAAAAAUCAAACUUAUAACAUAGCUCUAAGAAAAUACAUAAGACUAUUUUGCUACUUGUUACAAACAAUUUGAAAGGUUGAACUGAAUCACGAAACGAGAAAUUUAGCUGUCCUCGAGUUUUUCCAAUGUUCUGAGUUUUUCCUACGUUCAAGGUCGUAUUUGCAGAGGAAGUAGAGAAGAAAAAAGCAAGAAGGACAGAGGAUGAGGGAGGGAGAAUGUGCGAUUCCUCCCCUCCUGCAAACGAUCUACGCCUUCUUGGCGCUUGCCGAUCAUAUAUGAAAGAACACGUGUCACCAGAUUCUCUCAGUGGUACCUCGAAGAGAUCCAUCCACGUGGAUCAUUACCACUUAAUCGUGAUAUCUCGAGGAGAUUUUUAUAAAAGAAUUUCAGUGUUUUAUUUAACAUUAAUUUUGAAUGAUAUUUGACUUUAUCGAGUUUAGAUACAUUUAGAUAAUAGUAGAUAUCUUUUGAAGAAAGAAUUGGAAGGAUAGUGGUUGAAGAAGAAUGAAUCAUGAGAAUAAGGUUGAGAACUUCAAUACAGGCAUUAAUUACAUACUCGCGACGAAUGUGAUACAACAGACGCAUCACGUGUCGAGGGAGAGACGAGGUGAAACGUAUGGGAAACUGAAAGAAUUUCGCGGUUGUACCAUUUGGCUGACAGGAUUGUCCGGCGCUGGAAAGACUUCCAUAUCGUUUCAACUCGAGAAUUACCUUGUCUCUCAAGGUAUACCAGCGUACAGCAUCGACGGAGACAACGUCCGGCAUGGGUUGAACCGGAACCUCGGUUUCACCAAGGAAGAUCGCGAGGAGAACGUGCGAAGAGCGGCGGAAGUGGCAAAAUUAUUUUCCGACUGCGGGAUAAUAACAAUCUGCAGCUUCGUAUCGCCAUUCGAAGCGGACAGAAGAUCGGCGAGGAAGAUCCACGAGGACUUUAACUUGAGAUUCUUCGAGAUAUUCGUCCAAGCGUCGAUGCAGACUUGCGAGGCGAGAGACGUGAAAGGUCUUUACGAGAAAGCUAGAAAGGGGAUGAUCAAAAGCUUCACGGGUAUAGGGCAGGAGUACGAGGUGCCCGAGCAUGCGGACCUCGUCGUCAACACGGAGGUUCACGAUUUGGAAACGUCCACGAGGUUGGUGAUCGAGUUCCUGAGGAAGGAGGGAGUGGUUCCGCCGAUACGGGAGAAAGUCGAAGAAUUAUUUGUAGACGAGAAGAGGAUAGAAGAGGCGAGGAGGGAGGCGGAGAGUCUUCCUUGUAUCGAAAUCACCCAUGUCGAUUUGCAAUGGAUCCAAGUGUUAGCCGAGGGAUGGGCAACUCCACUUAGAGGUUUUAUGAGAGAGGAUCAAUAUUUGCAGUGCCAACAUUUCAAGAUCGUCGAACAAAAUGGGGACAAUAUUAAUCAAUCUAUACCCAUUGUACUUCCGGUUAACACGAAUCAAAAAGAGAGAUACCUCAACGCAUCGGCACUCGCUUUGAGACAUCAAGGCCGAGCUGUAGCGAUUUUAAGGAGCCCGGAAUUCUUUGCACAUCGAAAGGAAGAAAGAUGUUGCAGAGAAUUCGGAACAAACGAUCCAGGUCAUCCUUACGUAAAAAUGAUCCACGAAUCAGGAGAUUGGCUCGUUGGAGGGGAGUUGGAGGUUUUGGAGAGGAUCAGAUGGAACGAUGGCCUCGACGAGUUCAGACUCACCCCUAACGAGAUUAGGGAAAAGUGCAGAGAACUGGGUGCAGACGCUGUUUUCGCAUUUCAGUUGAGAAAUCCGAUACACAAUGGCCACGCACUUUUAAUGCAGGAUACAAGAAGAUAUCUCGUCGAAGAGCGCGGUUUUAAAAAACCAGUUCUUUUAUUACAUCCUCUGGGAGGAUGGACAAAAGAGGACGAUGUACCACUACCAGUAAGGAUAAAUCAACACCAAAGUGUUCUCGAAGAAGGUGUGUUACACGAAGACACCAUUCUCGCCAUAUUUCCAAGUCCAAUGCUUUAUGCUGGACCUACAGAGGUGCAAUGGCACGCAAAAGCAAGAAUGAUGGCGGGCGCAAACUUUUAUAUCGUUGGCCGUGAUCCUGCGGGUUUACCGCAUCCAGACAAAUCUAAAACUCCGGAUGGAAACCUAUACGAUGGAACGCACGGCUCCAGAGUACUAUCGAUUGCACCAGGUCUUCAAAAUCUCGAAAUAAUUCCGUUCAGAGUAGCAGCUUAUGACAAUAGAAUUAAAAAAAUGGCGUUCUAUCAGCCAGAAAGAUCUGAAGAUUUUAGUUUUAUAUCAGGAACUAAAAUGCGAAAUCUAGCAAAAUCUGGUGAAAAUCCGCCACAAGGAUUCAUGGCGCCAAAAGCGUGGCAAAUUAUUGCAGAUUACUAUAAAAAACAACUAAAUAAAGAAGCGUAAUUAAUUUCUGAUAGAUAUAAUAUAAUUUUCAUAUAUAUAAAGGAUCACUUUACACUAAUCAUAUAAAUAUUAUAAUAUAAUAUAUAUAUUUAAAUUUAAUUAAAAAUAAUAAAUAAAAAUACUUCUGUAUACAAAGUGAUUUAUUUUUACUUUAUUUAUAUCAAAUUAAUAUAUAUUUUGUUAAAAGAAUGACGAAUGUUGUAAUCGUAAUCCAAAUUGGUCACAGUGUUUCAGUGAAAUCAAAGAAAAAUGUCACUUGUAUUUCUUUGAUUCCAAUCUAAUUUUCAAAAGUACCAUUAUGUAAAAAUGGUCGUGCUAUUUUAAAAAAGGUUAGUUAUUCAAGUGCUUCGAAUCACACAUCGUAACAAGGCUGACAUAACAUACCAAGAAGUAUUCUAAUAUUUAUUUAAUCAUUCUAAAAACUUUUUUGAUGUGUGCAUUGGAUUUUAACUUUAAUUGAAGAAAUUUUUUAAAAACUUAUAAAAUUUUACAUCUCGAAUAUUUAUCUCGCAUUGUUAUUUCUACUUUACCAGUUAUACCGGAUUAUUAUCCGUUGUGCGUUCCCUCUCUUCGAGUCUGAAAGUGGGAGUAACUACGAUACACGUACUCACCAACCACUUCCAAACAGGAGUGGUAUACCUGUACCAAUCCUCUCUCCUUCAUGGAAAUGCUCCUUGCCCCCAUACCAGGCGUGCCAAGCCGUAAUCAUCGCUUGUCAAAACUGUCCAUUAACGCAUCAGAUCGAUGGCAUCAUAACUCGACUAAGGAACAGGGAAUAAUCUGGACCGAGGAGUUCGAGCAAUUUCCACACAGGGGUCUCCACCGUCCAAAUCGUCGUGAAGAAUCGAAAGCGGUACGAAGUCGAGCCAGAUGGAGGAAGGGUCGAGUUCCAAUCGUUCUAAUAAUCUGAAGGGCUAUCGGCAGUCUAUUGGUUUGAUCCCUUGAUCCCAGGCUAGCAGAAGGAGGUUGGUGGUCGUGUGAAAUUCCUUGCGGCUUUCUACCGUGGUGUAACGUGGGAUCUGACCACGCAACGGCCAUGGGUUAGUCACGACACGUCGUGACGCGUCGUUUUGGGAAGCGUGGCAUGCGAUUCGUCGAUUAGCCGACGUAGUGGAAAUGCAGAGUGGUCGCGUUUCCGUGUUUCCACGCUUGGUUUGCUUGGAAUGGAACGGACAACCCCGCGAAUAGGAAUAAUUUAAUCCAGUGCCCGAGGGAAAGGGUUGAAUAAAAUAUAUUCACAUUUUCGAAGUAGGCGAGUAUGAGGUGAAAGAAGGUGUUUCGUUGUGCUCGUGUGGAAAGAUCGGACGUGACACAUUGCCCUUAGGGAUUUAUGUUGCUCUGGUGGCUCGUCACGUUGUUCGGAAACUGUCGGUUUCGCGGCCGAUUCGGAAGGGAGAACGAUGGAUAGAGGAUAGAGGUUAGGAAAACGAGGGAUUGGACGAGAGAGGAAAAUUAAUGGCGGGUGAUCAAAUGACGAACGUUUGAAGGGAUUCGGGUUGUCGACGUUGGAGAGAAAGGGUUCGCCUCGUCGGGAUUCCACCCACGCUUUUUUCACAGGAUAACAUCCUCGCGAGGAACCCCACGGGAAACUGGCGGAUCGAAAGCCUAGGCUAGGUUAGCGAUGAGAUUUAUCGGAUAUAGGUUUGUUCAUUAAAUCUACAUUUGUAUCAUAUGGGAAAGUAUUUUAAAAAAUAUAGAAAAUGCAAUUUUUAUCGCUUAUCAUAUCGCUUAUAAUUUCAUCCGAGUAAUUUUUACGAUAAGUGUCUGUUUUUAAUAGUACGUUGUUAUAUAACCUUUAUAUUUUUUUACAAAUGUAUCUUACUAUACUCUGUCACUUUUCUUACUCUACACGAAAUCACAAAUCACUCGUAUUUUUAUUAAUAUGGACACAUUAUAAAAUACGAAUUCGUUAUUCUUUUAACAUUUAUUCAAGAAUGCAUUUUACUAAAUAUUAUAAGAAACUUGAUGAAUGUUAUUUUCAAAAUAAAUUCGUGCCUUUAAAAUUCUUUCUUUCUUUCAAUUCUUCCAUUUGGAACAUUUCAAGAAUUCUUCAAACUAUUAUUAUAACACUCUUUAUUUAAAUGAACUCCCCAGGACUAAUCUUCCAUCCACCCUCGUAGACCCACCCUGGAUUCAAAGGGUUUUUAACCUCCUUACAAUCCAGGACACCUCCUAUAUCCUGAUGCCUGCCUGAGCAAUGUCACCUGCGGUGUAAUUAAUAUUCAUACAUACCUCUCAUGAAUAUGACAUCCCAUAACCGCAUCUCAUUACAAAGUAACACGACCGAUAUCAUUGCAUCACUAUUACACGCCAUCUUCUGUUUCUCGAUUGAAAUAUUCUACAACCGGAAUCGAAUAGUACAUGGUGAAGGGAUUUAGGUUGGUUUAUCUCCCCCACCCCUCAGACAAAUCGCUUCAGUAAACCAGUGCUAUCAGGAUACCACGAAAGAGCCAGCUGAUUAUUGGAUGACACACAAAAGUGUUAGGGGAACAUAAAUUCAUGUCACGCGGAUUUUUCACGGUUUGUUGGUGAACGUUUAUGAAGAUUAAUGAGUGAGUAAAGUGGCGGUCGACGAUGGUUCUGGACAAUACAAGAGUAAACAAGAGGAACAGGGAAAGAUGAAAGGCGAGGAGAUCGUUGGGAUGGCGAAUUGGGGUGCGACACCCCUAGGGCUGGUCGAGGCCAGUUCACUCUCCAUCAGGGGGCGGUUCAGAGGAUUAAUGGAUCGUGUCGUUCUGUAUCUGGAGUUAGGGGUGGGAUUGGAUCUGAAAUGGAUAAAUGGAGAUCUUUUUGAAUCCUUUUAGUAUAUAUAUGUAUGUAUAUGAAUUGUUUUACCAUGUUUUGUACAAACUAUUUACGAAAAAGGAUUAUUUUAUGGAAAAAUGAAAAUAACAUCGUGAAAAGUGCCUUUUAAAAAUCGUUUUUGAAAAAGAACAGUUUUUUCAAAGUCAAGUUUUCAAGAGUAUUGAACGUUAUAUUAUCUUAUCUAGAAAUUCUAAUUAAUAAUGAUAAUACAUUAUGUUUAUAAUAUUGUUAGUAAUCUAUAAUAUGUAGUACAGUGAAAUUUAAUCCUUUUUUUAUCUUUUGCAUUAUCUAUUAUUUUUUAGCACUUGUAAUCCAAUACAUACAUAGUAACAAUAAAUUCAUAAAAUCAAUGUUUACUAUAUGAUAAAAUACGUUUUCGUUCUGGAUUAAUAAAUGUGAUUAUUCAGUGCAUUUUAUGCAUUUAUUGCAUCUAAUCUCUUCGUUCAUAUGGCUCAUAUCAUAUUUAACAAUAUAAAAAUUAUACACGGUCUAAAGUAUAAUGUAAAUAGAAUUUUUAUUAAAUCUCUUCAUAUAAUUUAUCUGAUUGAUUAUCACUGCUCAUUCGAAAAUAAUAAAAAACAAGAUCAAGAUACUUGAAAACGAUAUAAAUUGGAUAAUAUAGAUCGAUUCGCAAAAUAUUUUACAACCGAUAGAUCUGUUAAUAAUCACUUCGGUAUUGCAGAGAAAAUGAUUCUCGAACAAUCAACUUUCCACGAUCAGUUACGGAAUCUUUUUACGCUUUCUCUGGUUAAAUCCAAUAUUCACGAGUAUAUAAUGAGAAAACUGACACAAAUUGAUACGCAAAUACGAGCAAGAUAGAGAACAAGCAGAUGAAUGAAAAUAAAAAAAGUGACAAACACUUGCGAUCAGAGAUUACGUCAAAUCCAAUUACAAACUACUAAAAAUAUACAAGCUCCGGUCACGUAUACUAGACAUUUCAUUGGGCAUUGCCUAUCGCAUACAUUUACCAGUACAACGGAUUACCAAUGGAAACGGAAAUAUCAAGUGGAUAAAAAAUCGAUUGGCAACAAUUGAAAGGAAGGAGAUAAAAACGCGAUCCAUUCGCGCACGAUUCCUCAGACAGCCCACCAGCCCACCGUCCGCAACCGGCCGAGUUUAGGGUUAAGAAGGUGCACCUACACACCGUCUUCUGGGCGUACAUCAGCGACGCCACGCAGAUACACCUAACGCCUGGGCGUUUCCGUCUUGGAGCUGCCUUCCCAUCCAGGAGUAACCGGCGUCUCCACGUGCCACGACGCCUCGAUCCAUCUCUGCAACCAGCUUCUGUGCAACCUUCCCCGGCCGAGAGCGUGCCUACCUGGCAAUCUGAUCUUUCGCCGUGGAUGAUCGGCACAAUUUGUAUCGAGUGCUGGUCGCCACGAGGUCGCGAUUCCGCACCGCCUCUUCAUGUCAUGGUUCCGCCCCGCGAGUUUGACGGCCUGCCCUCCGCGGGAGCCGCCCCCGCUCUUUGAACAGGAACACAGAAACGCCGAGGAACCGACCCCGCGUUUCUGCCGGCUCGAACCCGAUGAACUUGGCCUUGGCGCCGGCCGCGAACGUGGAUAGGGGGGGAGACGUGUAUACGUGAGAUUUUAGUCGAGUGUUGUGUGGGUGUUGGGUGUCGUGUUUCGGCGAUUUAGCGGGUUAGUGCGUUGGAUGUGGUGAGUGACGGUACGUGUGGUGUUUCGGUGUAUACGUUGAGUUGCGGCUUGAGAAUGGAACGGUUUGUUGAUGGAACAAGAUCAAUUGUGUAAUUUAGCGGGAUAUUCCAAGUGUAGUUUGGAACGUUUGUUCGGCUGUCUUUGCUUUGGAAAAAGUUGUUUGGGAUCGAACAUAGCGUGCCGUUUAAUUCCUUUUUUCUUACGGAGCGGACAAUUUUUUUAUGGAGGUUAAAAGUGUCGUUUAUUUAUAUAUUUUUAUACAGUGUGUUUAUAGGAGAGUUUUUUACUUUUCUUUGAGUCUAUGUUUGGUUUGAAUUUCGUUGGAAAUUCUUCAAUUCGUUAUUUUAAACAUAAAAAAAGAAAUCAAUACAAUCGUUUGUCACAUUUCUAUUAUGGAUUAUUUUCUUAAGGUUUAAUAAUACCUUCAAAGCGAAGUUUAAAAUUUCUUUGAAUCAAGAAUCGCAUUCCGUAAUGUUUUUUAAAAAUAUUAUCCAUCUUUCCAAUUUUAUUCUAAUUCUACGUUGAAAUUUAUUUUCCAUUUUUUUCUUUUUUUAAAUUUGCAGAAAUAAAUGUAGUUAAUUUGAAAAUGUAGUCGUGCGACUCGUGUGAAUCUGCAAAGCCUGUCAAUUGUCUCGCGAUUGGCUUCGAAACUGUACCUAAAUCAACCCUUCAGGCGGGUCUGGUAGGCCGGCAAAUCGACACUGUGGCAUGCGUAAACACAGGCUCCGAAGCCUAAAGAGGUGGAGAACGUCCUAAUGAAUCGCGCAUGCCGCAUUGCGCAACAGAGUUCGCCUUUUCAGCAAUCCCACUGUGCGUCGAUGAGGUAGAGGAUAGGGGCAUGCGUGAAGGGUGGCAAGCGAGGGUGUAUCGACACGUUCAGUGGAUACCGAGUUGCGAUUGAGUGAAGAUACUCCCAAAUUACCUCUCUCAAUAAACACGUGCAACAGCACGUAAAUAUGAAAAAAGAGGCACGUUACUUUUUGAUCACAUUCGAGCAAGGAAUCGACGUAGGCCGACUCGAACGAUUCCCUGAUGGUUGGAGUAGAAUGGGGAGUAGGGGUUGAUACUCUCCACCUCUCCCGGGCAUUUAUCCCAUAAUAAGAGAAGAAGCGAAAUAUAAAGUGGGAAGUGAGCAGCGGCCACGUGGGCUACACGGCGCGACGCCUGCGCCCUGGGCCCCCUGCAAGUGGGACAAGCCGUUCCUUCAGGAUCGCUCGGAAGAAAGGUGGAGAGGUCGGAGGACAACGGUCGCGCGGUGCUGGUAGGGGACAGAUGGUCGCACGAGGUUGGACGAAAGGGCCAGGCAUACACCAGUCGAAAAAGGGUGCGACCUUCGCUGGCCUCGGCCAGCCCUCGGGGAGACCGCGCCCACGCAUUUUCAGCAGGAUCGCAGCACGUGGAUGGAGCUGUUUUGGCCUUGGAACCUCUCCAUCUAGCCUGUACCUACGUCCUGGAAGGGCCGUCAAGGGUCGAAGGAACCCGCCCCACCAACCCGUCCUUCUUCUUCGCGCGUGUUUAGUGUGUGGUGGGGAAAACGAGUUUUUACAAGUGUACAAUGAACGAUGUUGCACGAUGAACGUUGGCCGUGUAUUGGGCCGCGGAAUGAAUCGGAUGUUUCAGAGGUUCCCGUAGGGGUUCUGGUGGGGUGGGCGGAGAGAUUGAUGAAGGGAGGAGUAAGAUGGGGUAAAGUAUGGAUUGGUUUUUAGGUAUGGUGAGGGUAUUAAUAAUAGUGAUUGGCAAAUUAUUGGAGUAAUUGUUCUAAACACGAAGUUAAGAUAAACUUUGACAAUUUUUAAUAUUUGCAUUAAGAUGUUAGGUAGUUAUUGUUUGUUUAUAUUCGCUACGUGUUGUUUUUUUAAUAAUUUUAGUAAUCGAGAUUGUAUUUUAGGUUAAUUAUAUCUAAUGUAUAAGGAUGGUAACUGUAGUUGGUUGUAUCUUUUAUUUCUUUUGAUUUAUAUAUAUUUAUUUUUUAAAUAAAUUAUGAUUCGAUCUAA